AUUGAACGCUGGCGGCAGGCCUAACACAUGCAAGUCGAACGAGUGGCGGACGGGUGAGUAAUGUCUGGGAAACUGCCCGAUGGAGGGGGAUAACUACUGGAAACGGUAGCUAAUACCGCAUACCAUCGGAUGUGCCCAGAUGGGAUUAGCUAGUAGGUGGGGUAACGGCUCACCUAGGCGACGAUCCCUAGCUGGUCUGAGAGGAUGACCGGCCACACAGGAACAGGGAAACGGUCCAGACUCCUACGGGAGGCAGCAGUGGGGAAUAAUGCACAAGGGGCGCAAGCCUGAUGAAGCCCUGCCGGGUGUAGGAAGAAGGCCUUCGGGUUGUAAAGUACUUUCAGCGAGGAGGCGUUACUCGCAGAAGAAGCACCGGCUAACUCCGUGCCAGCAGCCGCGGUAAUAC
rnacentral:rRNA from 1 species